rnacentral:rRNA from 1 species
GAUGAACGCUGGCGGCGUGCCUAAUACAUGCAAGUCGAACGGGGAGUAGCAAUACUCUUAGUGGCGAACGGGUGAGUAACGCGUUGGUACCUGCCCCGAAGCGGGGGAUAACAGACCGAAAGGUCCGCUAAUACCCCAUGUGCUCGGUAACGAGUAAAGGUGAAAACCACUUUGGGAGGGGCCUGCGUCCCAUCAGCUAGUUGGUAAGGUAACGGCUUACCAAGGCGAUGACGGGUAGGGGACCUGAGAGGGUGGCCCCCCACAAUGGAACUGAAACACGGUCCAUACACCUACGGGUGGCAGCAGUAGGGAAUAUUGGUAAUGGGCGCAAGCCUGAACCAGCAACGCCGCGUGUGCGAUGACGGCCUUCGGGUUGUAAAGCACUUUUGACUGGGACGAGGAAGGACGGUACCGGUCGAAUCAGCCUCGGCUAACUACGUG